UACGGAGGGUGCAAGCGUUAUCCGGAAUCACUGGGCGUAAAGGGCGCGUAGGCGGUCCAUUAAGUCCGAUGUUAAAGACCGGGGCUCAACCCCGGCACGGCGUUGGAUACUGUUGGGCUGGACGGCUGGAGAGGCGAGUGGAAUUACCAGUGUAGCGGUGGAAUGCGUAGAUACUGGUAGGAACACCCAUGGCGAAGGCAGCUCGCUGGACAGCACGUGACGCUGAGGCGCGAAAGUGUGGGGAG
rnacentral:rRNA from 1 species